GUAGGAGGCAAGCGUUGUCCGGAAUUAUUGGGCGUAAAGCGCGCGCAGGCGGUCCUUUAAGUCUGAUGUGAAAGCCCACGGCUCAACCGUGGAGGGUCAUUGGAAACUGGGGGACUUGAGUACAGAAGAGGAAAGCGGAACUCCAAGUGUAGCGGUGAAAUGCGUAGAGAUUUGGAGGAACACCAGUGGCGAAGGCGGCUUUCUGGUCUGUAACUGACGCUGAGGCGCGAAAGCGUGGGGAGCAAACAGGGAUUAGAUACCCUGGUAGUCCACGCCGUAAACGAUGAGUGCUAAGUGUUAGGGGGGUUUCCCGCCCCCUUAGUGCUGCAGCUAACGCAUUAAGCACUCCGCCUGGGGAUACGGCCGCAAGGCUG
rnacentral:rRNA from 1 species